rnacentral:rRNA from 1 species
GUCUACGGCCAUACCACCCUGAACGCGCCCGAUCUUGUCUGAUCUCGGAAGCUAAGCAGGGUCGGGCCUGGUUAGUACUUGGGUGGGGGAAAAAGCAGCAACAAAAAGCC